GAGGGCAUAGCUCAGUGGUAGACUGCGUGCUCAGCAUGCAUGAGGUCCUGGGUUCAAUUCCCAGUGCCUCUG
rnacentral:tRNA from 1 species